AUUGAACGCUGGCAGCAUGCCUUACACAUGCAAGUCGAACGGCAGCGCGGACUUCGGUCUGGCGGCGAGUGGCGAACGGGUGAGUAAUACAUCGGAACGUACCCUGUUGUGGGGGAUAACUAGUCGAAAGAUUAGCUAAUACCGCAUACGACCUGAGGGUGAAAGUGGGGGACCGGAAACGGCCUCAUGCAGCAGGAGCGGCCGAUGUCUGAUUAGCUAGUUGGUGGGGUAAAGGCCCACCAAGGCGACGAUCAGUAGCUGGUCUGAGAGGACGAUCAGCCACACUGGGACUGAGACACGGCCCAGACUCCUACGGGAGGCAGCAGUGGGGAAUUUUGGACAAUGGGGGCAACCCUGAUCCAGCAAUGCCGCGUGUGUGAAGAAGGCCUUCGGGUUGUAAAGCACUUUUGUCCGGAAAGAAAUCGCGCUGGUUAAUACCUGGCGUGGAUGACGGUACCGGAAGAAUAAGCACCGGCUAACUACGUG
rnacentral:rRNA from 1 species